AACAGAACUAGUCUUUCAUCCCAGGGUAUAACAUCAAUCAACAGGUGAACCAGAACUAGCCUUUCAUCCCAGGGUAUAACAGAACUAGCCUUUCAUCCCAGGGUAUAACAGAACUAGUCUUUCAUCCCAGGGUAUAACAUCAAUCAACAGGUGAACCAGAACUAGCCUUUCAUCCCAGGGUAUAACAGAACUAGCCUUUCAUCCCAGGGUAUAACAUCAAUCAACAGGUGAACCAGAACUAGCCUUUCAUCCCAGGGUAUAACAGAACUAGUCUUUCAUCCCAGGGUAUAACAUAAAUCAACAGGUGAACCAGAACUAGCCUUUCAUCCCAGGGUAUAACAUCAAUCAACAGGUGAACCAGAACUAGCCUUUCAUCCCAGGGUAUAACAGAACUAGUCUUUCAUCCCAGGGUAUAACAUCAAUCAACAGGUGAACCAGAACUAGCCUUUCAUCCCAGGGUAUAACAUCAAUCAACAGGUGAACCAGAACUAGUCUUUCAUCCCAGGGUAUAACAGAACUAGUCUUUCAUCCCAGGGUAUAACAUCAAUCAACAGGUGAACCAGAACUAGUCUUUCAUCCCAGGGUAUAACAGAACUAGUCUUUCAUCCCAGGGUAUAACAUCAAUCAACAGGUGAACCAGAACUAGCCUUUCAUCCCAGGGUAUAACAGAACUAGCCUUUCAUCCCAGGGUAUAACAGAACUAGCCUUUCAUCCCAGGGUAUAACAUCAAUCAACAGGUGAACCAGAACUAACCUUUCAUCCCAGGGUAUAUCAGAACUAGCCUUUCAUCCCAGGGUAUAACAGAACUAGCCUUUCAUCCCAGGGUAUAACAUCAAUCAACAGGUGAACCAGAACUAGUCUUUCAUCCCAGGGUAUAUCAUCAAUCAACAGGUGAACCAGAACUAGCCUUUCAUCUCAGGGUAUAUCAUCAAUCAACAGGUGAACCAGAACUAGCCUUUCAUCCCAGGGUAUAACAUCAAUCAACAGGUGAACCAGAACUAGCCUUUCAUCCCAGGGUAUAACAGAACUAGCCUUUCAUCCCAGGGUAUAACAUCAAUCAACAGGUGAACCAGAACUAGCCUUUCAUCCCAGGGUAUAACAGAACUAGCCUUUCAUCCCAGGAUAUAUCAGAACUAGUCUUUCAUCCCAGGGUAUAACAGAACUAGCCUUUCAUCCCAGGGUAUAACAGAACUAGCCUUUCAUCCCAGGGUAUAUCAUCAAUCAACAGGUGAACCAGAACUAGCCUUUCAUCCCAGGGUAUAUCAUCAAUCAACAGGUGAACCAGAACUAACCUUUCAUCCCAGGAUAUAUCAGAACUAGCCUUUCAUCCCAGGGUAUAACAUAACUAGCCUUUCAUCCCAGGGUAUAACAUCAAUCAAGAGGUGAACCAGAACUAGCCUUUCACCCAGGGUAUAACAUCAAUCAAUAGGUGAACCAGAACUAGCCUUUCAUCCCAGGGUAUAACAGAACUAGCCUUUCAUCCCAGGGUAUACCAGAACUAGCCUUUCAUCCCAGGGUAUAACAGAACUAACCUUUCAUCCCAGGGUAUAUCAGAACUAGCCUUUCAUCCCAGGGUAUAACAGAACUAGCCUUUCAUCCCAGGAUAUAUCAGAACUAGUCUUUCAUCCCAGGGUAUAACAGAACUAGCCUUUCAUCCCAGGGUAUAACAUCAAUCAACAGGUGAACCAGAACUAGCCUUUCACCCAGGGUAUAACAUCAAUCAAUAGGUGAACCAGAACUAGCCUUUCAUCCCAGGGUAUAUCAGAACUAGCCUUUCAUCCCAGGGUAUAACAGAACUAGUCUUUCAUCCCAGGGUAUAUCAGAACUAGCCUUUCAUCCCAGGGUAUAUCAGAACUAGCCUUUCAUCCCAGGGUAUAACAGAACUAGCCUUUCAUCCCAGGGUAUAUCAGA